GCAGUUGGGACCAAAGCUGAUACUUAAUACUCACUUGUACUACUCACUUCGCAUGUUGAAAGGAGGGCAAGGAGGCUUUCUUAGCUUUGGAUGAAGAUCUGAAUGUUGUUGGAUUCUUCUGUGCACCAUUAGAGCAAAUAUCAUUGACAUAUUAUUAGUUUGCUCUCAAGUCCUUGUAUCUUUAUUAUUUCAAAUUAUUGCAUUAAAUGAUUUUAUAAUAAAAACUAGAAAUAUAAGGCAUUGUCCUACUUAGUAUUUGAUUUUUUUAUUAACUAGAAAAGUUCUAACAAAAAUAUAAGGCAUUGUAA